UGAAUACAAGUGGCAAUCUGGAGAAAGAUAUUGCAAAGAAAACUCAAAAUGUCAAUUCAACUAUAGCAAACAUCAAAACUUCGAAGAGAAAUCCAAACUGUGUUCUUUCCUUCCCCAGAAUUGAAUUUGAAUUAAAAGGAAAUAAUGAAACACUGGAAAAAAUUGAACAACCUAAACUGAGGAAAUCCGUGUUAAGAAUGAAGUCAGACAAAGAUGAUGUGCAAGGUAAGCCAAAGAUUUUAGCUGUCUUCUCUUUUCUGCUAAGCAGCAGGGCAUUGUUGCUGAGCAACUCCUGUGCCGAAAAUCAGUACCAUUAGAGUUAUAAGAAAUGUGUUCUUCUAAGAAACUGGUCUUCUAGAAUUUUCUUUUUUUUUUAAAUUUUAUAAUUAUUUAUUUUCCCUUUUGUUGCCUGUUUUUUAUUGUUGUUGUAGUUGUUAUUGUCAUUGAUGUCCUUCUUGGAUAGGACAGAGAAAUGGAGAAAGGAGGGGAAGACAGAGAGGGGGAGAGAAAGGCAGACACCUGCAAACCUACUUCACUGCUUGUGAAGGGACUCCUCUGCAAGUGGGGAGCCAGGGGCUUGAACCAGGAUACUUAUACCCGUCCUUGUGUUUUGUGCAAUCUGCAUUUAACCGGCUGCGCUAUUGCCCGACUCCCAAGAAAUAUGCUCUUCUAAGAAACAGCUCUUCUAGGGAGUCAGGCGGUAGCACAGCGGGUUAAGCGCAGGUGGCUAAGCACAAGGACUAGUGUAAGGAUCCCGGUUCGAGCCCCCGGCUCCCCACCUGCAGGGGAAUUGCUUCACAAACGGUGAAACUGGACUGCAGGUGUCUAUCUUUCUCUCCCCUUCUUGGUCUUCCCCUCCUCUCUCCAUUUCUCUCUGUCCUGUCCAACAACAAUGGGAUCAACAACAACUACAACAAUAAAAACAAAAAAA